rnacentral:misc_RNA from 1 species
AGGAGGACUAAUGUGGUAAAUGCAGAAGUUGUGAAGCAGCAAAGAAGCCGCUUCAGGACAAAAGAAUAAUCCUUGGAAACAAGACAUAUCUGAUAAACAAACAUAAAGAACAACGAUUUUAGAUUUGCCAAAAUGUACUGAUUGAAAGGGAGGACAAAAAAACCUUUUAGUACUAUGCUGCACUUAUGUUGGCUAAUGAUUCACCUUGACACCAAAGGAAAAUAGACAAAACACGAGAAGAAUUAUGCAGAACAGUAACUCAAACUACAUAUUACUUUCUUGUGAACAUGUAUCUAAAAUGUAAUGCAACAUUGAAAACUAACGAUGAUGAAAAAUUGAAGAAAGGAAAGGAGCAAAUUUCUCAUAUGCAAACACAAAUUCCAGAUAUAUCAUUAUAGAUUUCCAAACAAUUGGGUGAAUGGUAUGUAGAG